AUUUUUUCCAGAUUAAAAAAAUCGCCAGAGAGAGGAAGACGUGCAAUCGUAUACGGCUCAUGCUACAGGAUAUUGUAGACCUGAGAUUGCACAACUGGGUGUCCAAAGGAGGAGCCAAGAAAAGUACAGCAGCAACUCCUCUCCAAAGACACCAAGAGACAGCCAGAUCCAAGUGAGCAGAGAGAGCAGGGCGUAGAGAGAGAGUAGCCGGGCAACACCGUGCCCGUGAAAAAGAACAGCAGGACCGCUGAAAAGAAAUAAGCUGCUAUUUACUUUUGAAGAUUUGAAAUGUUUAUUUGAAUUAAAGCUGGAACCUAAUGCAGAGUCAUGACUUGUUAAGAUUCUGCUGUAUAAUCAGAAACAUAUAAUAUUUUAUGAUUUAUACAGAUAUUGGUAAACAAGUUUCUUAGAUUUUCUACAUAUUACUGAUAAAACACUCAUAACAGGGGCAUUUGUGUUGAUUCAUUCAUGCUUCUUCCUCACCCCGGCAAUUUCACGCCCUCAUCUCAGAGUAAAUAAAUUCAACAAUAUACAUAAUGAUUUGUGUAAUGAGUUUAAUAUUGUAAAAAUGUAUCUAAACAAUAGAAAUUGAAUAUAGUAUAUUUUGUGAAAUCAGCAGUGACCUCUGAGUAGAAAUUGAUCACAGACAACGUGAAAAGUUGUGUGGCUAAUUUUUUUGUGCCCGAUGGUCUCUGCUGAAUCUGGAGGCUGUUUUGAAAACUCCAUCUCUGACUUCCUCGUCUGUAGUUCCUGUUCUCUAGCCGGAAAAAUAUACAUAGGGUCAGGAUUGGAUCCCAUAACUGUUUAUGAUUAAUCCUUGGAAUUGUAACAACCGGGCUGUUUGUAAAAACUUUCCUUGCUCCCAUCUGAUCUGCAUCACUGUAGUUUACAUGUCCGGCAGUGCAAAGGUGGCACAAAGGAUCCAUGAGGUACUGCAGAAUAGAAGGAAAACAGACUUUGUGGGAUCUCUGCCUGCUGGAUGCACUCUGACAUGUUUCAGUGUAGAACAGGGAGCACACUUGUUCACUAAGCC